AUUGAACGCUGGCGGCAGGCUUAACACAUGCAAGUCGAGCGGAGCGAGGGUGCUUGCACCUUAGCUUAGCGGCGGACGGGUGAGUAAUGCUUAGGAAUCUGCCUAUUAGUGGGGGACAACAUUCCGAAAGGAAUGCUAAUACCGCAUACGCCCUACGGGGGAAAGCAGGGGAUCUUCGGACCUUGCGCUAAUAGAUGAGCCUAAGUCGGAUUAGCUAAUUGGUGGGGUAAAGGCCUACCAAGGCGACGACCUGUAGCGGGUCUGAGAGGAUGAUCCGACACACUGGGACUGGGGCACGGCCCAGACUCCUACGGGAGGCAGCAGUGGGGAAUAUUGGACAAUGGGCGGAAGCCUGAUCCAGCCAUGCCGCGUGUGUGAAGAAGGCCUUUUGGUUGUAAAGCACUUUAAGCGAGGAGGAGGCUACCUGGAUUAAUACUCUAGGAUAGUGGACGUUACUCGCAGAAUAAGCACCGGCUAACUCUGUGCCAGCAGCCGCCGUAACAC
rnacentral:rRNA from 1 species